GCGGACAUGGUGCACGGCGCACCGCUGACUUCAUUUGAUCGCCAAAACUCCAAUGCAAGCAGUCAGACGGGGUUCGACUCCCCGUGUCCGCA